AGCGACUUGGAAACGCCAGUCACAGCUCCAUCUGAAACCCCAGCAUCAGUAGCAAAUGAUGUUAAAAUCCCUACGCACAAGUUUUCUUCAAAUCAGGUGGAAGCUAAGGACGCCGAGAAGGGUACUGGAAGUCAUGAGAGAAAUCUCAAGGCAACGCCGAAAAAGCGUCGUAUCAAUGUCUUCCCAAAUAAUCCGCCGUUGAAAUAGAACCUGAAGGGCAAAGCAUGCAAGCAGAAGUGCCUUCUUCAGACAUACGCAAAGCAACGACGUGGAUGGUCUGAUGGAGAACAAUUCUAUCUUAUCAACAAAAGAAGUUUUUUCAUACUAUAUCGGACAAAGGGAGUAUCAGAAACCCACAAGCAUCAGUCCAGUCCAACGUGAUUUUUGGCAAACAAAAAGAAAGGGAGGCAGUGGUGCAACGACUCUGUACUCGCUUACAUUCCUUCCUUGCACUUAUGCAUGUGAUCCAAGGUAAUAAGUGUUUAUCUCAAUGGAAAGGAUCUGUCAUGGAUUUUUUUGUUGGUGCAAUCCUUUUGCAGAAUGUAUUUGAUACUAUCUCGAGAUUUGCCUUGAUGUCACUCGCUGUUAAAUUUCCUUUGAAAGAAAUUGAUACAGAAACAGGCUGAUCUCUCAUGGUGUAAAGCCAAAAAUGAAAAUAAAUGAUGGAAUGAAGGGAGAUACAAUGGUAAAUGAUAAUACUGGAACGUUGGAAAAAUGAAAUUACUUAGUGUUGAUUGGGAUUAAGGGAGGAAGCAUAUUUAAAUGACUGAAUAGAAGAGAACUAAUGAGAAUAAGGACUCAGCAUACUGGGAAGCAAUGAGAUGCACAAAUGCAAAUGAAAUUUUAGAAGUCAUUAAAGAAUGAGGACAAAAUAAUAUUUUGGCUAUUAAACAGUGAUGGAAAUGUUUUUCCAUGAGCAUAAAGAAAAGGUUCAAAUGACUCAUUAAUUUACGCUAUUGAAGAAAAUCGCUAUGAGAUUAUCGGUCUCCGAUGUAAAAUAAGGAUAAUCAUUUUGACAUUAUUGCUAUUAAUAUAAGCUUAAAAUUGAAGACUUCUUGAUAACUUAAUCAUACUUUGCAAUGUCAUUACAAUUUGACAUUGAAGACAAUUUCCAUGAAGGUCUAUAUGAACAUUAUUUGUGAAUUUUUCGAAGCUAAUUUCAUUUGAGAAAUUCACACAUAAUAUUUAUAUAGAUCUUCAUGGAAAUUGUCUUCAAUGUCAAUUUAUAAUGAUCUUGUAAUGUGAGAUUCAAUUAUUAAGAAGUUUUAAAUUUUAAGCUCAUAGUUAAUUGUAAUAAUUUCAAAAUUAUCAUUCUUAUUUUAUAUUAGGGGUAAAGUGAUACUUUUGUAGUGAUUUUUUUCUUCAAUAGUGGAAAUUAUUGAGUUAUUUGAAUUUUUUUCAUGCUUACGCUUGUGGAAGAAUAUUUCCUUCACUCUUCAAUGUAAUAAUUACAAAAAUAAUUAUGCUUGUUGUAUGUUUCCACAAUUAUUUGUCGGUAAUUUGAGGAACAAUAAUAAAUAGUAAUUGUAUGUGAA